UACAGAGGGAGCAAGCGUUGUUCGGAAUUACUGGGCGUAAAGGGCGCGUAGGCGGUUCGAUAAGUCCCGUGUGAAAUCCCUCGGCUCAACUGAGGAAUUGCACGGGAAACUGACGGGCUUGAGUUCGGGAGAGGGAAGCGGAAUUCCGGGUGUAGCGGUGAAAUGCGUAGAUAUCCGGAGGAACACCGGUGGCGAAGGCGGCUUCCUGGACCGACACUGACGCUGAGGCGCGAAAGCUAGGGGAGCAAACGGG
rnacentral:rRNA from 1 species